AAGGAGUGGGCUGCAUUAUUGCGGCUUUAGGUACGUGCUAAACCCUUGGGAAACCAAGCUCGUAGGAUUAGACCCGAUAUGUCGAAGUCUGCGAGGGCCGAGAGGCUGGAUCCGGAGCCCGAUUGGUGCUCCGGAAGUGCUGUGAUGCCCUUAGAUGUUCUGGGCUGCACGG
rnacentral:rRNA from 1 species